rnacentral:rRNA from 1 species
GAUGAACGCUGACAGAAUGCUUAACACAUGCAAGUCUACCUGAACUUCGGUUUGUGUGGCGGACGGGCGAGUAACGCGUAAAGAACUUGCCUCACAGUUAGGGACAACAUUUGGAAACGAAUGCUAAUACCUGAUAUUAUGAUUUUAGGGCAUCCUAGGAUUAUGAAAGCUAUAUGUGCUGUGAGAGAGCUUUGCGUCCCAUUAGCUAGUUGGAGAGGUAACGGCUCACCAAGGCGAGGAUGGGUAGCCGGCCUGAGAGGGUGAACGGCCACAAGGGGACUGGGACACGGCCCUAACUCCUACGGGAGGCAGCAGUGGGGAAUAUUGGACAAUGGACCAAGAGUCUGAUCCAGCAAUUCUGUGUGCACGAUGACGUUUUUCGGAAUGUAAAGUGCUUUCAGUUGAGAAGAAGAAAAUGACGGUACCAACAGAAGAAGUGACGGCUAAAUACGUG